GCGUGAAGGAAGAAGGUCUUCGGAUUGUAAACUUUUGUCCCGCGGGAAGAAAAAAAUGACGGUACCGCGGGAGGAAGCCCCGGCUAACUACGUGCCAGCAGCCGCGGUAAUACGUAGGGGGCGAGCGUUGUCCGGAAUUACUGGGCGUAAAGGGUGCGCAGGCGGUUUUUUAAGUCAGGUGUGAAAUACCCGGGCUCAACCCGGGGGGUGCAUUUGAAACUGGGAGACUUGAGUGCAGGAGAGGGGAGCGGAAUUCCUAGUGUAGCGGUGAAAUGCGU
rnacentral:rRNA from 1 species